UGGGGAAUUUUGGACAAUGGGGGAAACCCUGAUCCAGCCAUCCCGCGUGUGCGAUGAAGGCCUUCGGGUUGUAAAGCACUUUUGGCAGGAAAGAAACGUCGCGGGUUAAUACCCCGCGAAACUGACGGUACCUGCAGAAUAAGCACCGGCUAACUACGUGCCAGCAGCCGCGGUAAUACGUAGGGUGCAAGCGUUAAUCGGAAUUACUGGGCGUAAAGCGUGCGCAGGCGGUUCGGAAAGAAAGAUGUGAAAUCCCAGAGCUUAACUUUGGAACUGCAUUUUUAACUACCGGGCUAGAGUGUGUCAGAGGGAGGUGGAAUUCCGCGUGUAGCAGUGAAAUGCGUAGAUAUGCGGAGGAACACCGAUGGCGAAGGCAGCCUCCUGGGAUAACACUGACGCUCAUGCACGAAAGCGUGGGGAGCAAAACAGGAUUAGAUACCCUGGUAGUCCACGCCCUAAACGAUGUCAACUAGCUGUUGGGGCCUUCGGGCCUUGGUAGCGCAGCUAACGCGUGAAGUUGACCGCCUGGGGAGUACGGUCGGCAAGAUUAAAAACUC
rnacentral:rRNA from 1 species